GACGAACGCUGGCGGCGUGCUUAACACAUGCAAGUCGAACGGAAAGGCCCUGCUUUUGUGGGGUGCUCGAGUGGCGAACGGGUGAGUAACACGUGAGUAACCUGCCCUUGACUUUGGGAUAACUUCAGGAAACUGGGGCUAAUACCGGCUAGGAGCUCCUGCUGCAUGGUGGGGGUUGGAAAGUUUCGGCGGUUGGGGAUGGACUCGCGGCUUAGCAGCUUGUUGGUUGGGUAGUGGCUUACCAAGGGAUUGACGGGUAGCCCGCACGGGAGGGUGGACGGCCACAAUGGGACUGAGGGAGGGACCAGAAGCGUAAGGGGGGCAAUGGGGGGGAAUAUUACACAACGGGGCGGAGUCUGAGGAAACAACCCCCGGUGCGGGAAGAACGUCUUCGGGGUGGAAACCGCUUUCGCCUGUGACGAAGCGUGAGUGACGGUAAUGGGUAAAGAAGCACCGGCUAACUACGUG
rnacentral:rRNA from 1 species